rnacentral:sRNA from 1 species
AUGUCUGUCCACCAGACCCCCAGAGGAAGAUUAGUCAUAAUUCGAGUCCAAGGAAGACGGCUAAUUCUAGCCAUCAAUGUUUGUUUCCCAUUCAGAAGAAGUAGAUGGCUGCCCUGUCAUUCUAGUUUGUGGAUCCCAGGAUGUUGGAAAGUCAACAUUUAAUAGAUACCUGAUUAACCAGUUGUUAAAUAGUCUUCCCUGCGUUGACUAUUUGGAAUGUGAUCUGGGACAGACAGAAUUUACCCCUCCUGGUUGCAUUUCUUUGCUUAAUAUUACAGAACCAGUUCUGGGACCACCUUUCACUCACCUGAGGACUCCACAGAAGAUGGUAUAUUAUGGGAAACCUUCUUGUAAAAACAACUAUGAGAAUUAUAUUGACAUAGUGAAAUAUGUGUUCAGCGCUUACAAGAGAGAGUCCCCUCUCAUCGUCAACACUAUGGGAUGGGUUUCAGACCAGGGGCUCCUGCUUCUCAUUGAUCUGAUCCGAUUGCUGUCUCCCAGCCACGUGGUUCAGUUCCGCUCUGACCACAGUAAAUAUAUGCCAGACCUUACCCCGCAGUAUGUAGAUGACAUGGAUGGCUUGUACACAAAAAGCAAGACCAAGAUGAGAAAUCGACGUUUCAGACUCGCAGCAUUUGCAGAUGCUUUGGAAUUUGCUGAUGAAGAAAAAGAGAGUCCAGUUGAGUUCACUGGACAUAAACUGAUAGGUGUUUAUACAGACUUUGCAUUCAGAAUAACUCCAAGAAAUAGAGAGUCACAUAACAAAAUUCUUCGAGAUCUGUCCAUCUUGAGUUACCUUAGCCAGCUGCAGCCCCCGAUGCCCAAACCACUUUCU